rnacentral:rRNA from 1 species
ACCCGCUGAACUUAAGCAUAUCAAUAAGCGGAGGAAAAGAAACCAACAGGGAUUGCCCUAGUAACGGCGAGUGAAGCGGCAUCAGCUCAAAUUUGAAAUCUGGCUCUUUUAGAGUCCGAGUUGUAAUUUGCAGAGGGCGCUUUGGCUUUGGCAGCGGUCCAAGUUCCUUGGAACAGGACGUCACAGAGGGUGAGAAUCCCGUACGUGGUCGCUGGCUAUUGCCGUGUAAAGCCCCUUCGACGAGUCGAGUUGUUUGGGAAUGCAGCUCUAAAUGGGAGGUACAUUUCUUCUAAAGCUAAAUAUUGGCCAGAGACCGAUAGCGCACAAGUAGAGUGAUCGAAAGAUGAAAAGCACUUUGGAAAGAGAGUCAAACAGCACGUGAAAUUGUUGAAAGGGAAGCGCUUGCAGCCAGACUUGCUUACAGUUGCUCAUCCGGGCUUUUGCCCGGUGCACUCUUCUGUAGGCAGGCCAGCAUCAGUUUGGGCGGUAGGAUAAAGGUCUCUGUCACGUACCUCUCUUCGGGGAGGCCUUAUAGGGGAGACGACAUACUACCAGCCUGGACUGAGGUCCGCGCAUCUGCUAGGAUGCUGGCGUAAUGGCUGU